AAUCUCGGGCUAAUGAGAAUAAUACCCCAUAGACCUCGAAAGCUGGAAUGCUUCAAGGUCGAUAACUCCGGUGCCCUUGUGUUGCUCUGCGUCCUAUCAGGUCGUAGUGGGUGUAACGUACCCCCUAGCCUAUGACGCGUAAGGGCCUUGAGAGAGGGAGCCCUGAGAUGGACUCUGAGACAUGAGUCCAGGCCCUACGGGGGGCAGAAGUCGCAAAAACUUCACAAUGGGGGAAACCCCGAUGAGGGAAAUUCCAAGUGCCAGCACAUUGGGGUUGGCUGUUCUCUGGUCAAAAAAACCGGAGAAGUAAGGCCCGGGUAAGAAAGGGUGCAACCCGCCGCGUUAAUACCCGGGGGCCCGGGUGGGGGGUCGAUAUUAUUUGAGCCUAAAACGUCCGUGGCCCGGCUUCAUAAAAUCCUUGUUGUAAAUCGCCAAGCUUAACUGUUCCGAAAGUCCGAGGAAGACUUUUGAGAAUUUGGAAUCGGGAAGAGGGCAGGAGUUCUUUUUGGGGUAGGGGAAAAAUCCUGUAAUCCUGGAAGGCCCACCGGUGGGAGAAGGCGUCUGAUUAGAACGAAUUCGACGGUGAGGGACGAAGCCCCUGGGGCGCAAACGGGAUUUGAUUCCCCGGUAGUCCAGGGGGUAAACGCUGCGGGCUUGGGUUUGGGGGGUCCCUUUGUGGGCCCCCAGUGCCGGGAGAGAAGUUUGUUAAGGCCUGCUGCUUGGGGAGUACGUCCGCAAGGUUGAAACUUAAA
rnacentral:rRNA from 1 species